UACACAUACAGACACACACACCUGCACACACACACCCCAAACUCAUGGACCUUAGGGUUCACUCCUUGGAGUGCAGUGGGGCACACGUCCUCCACACCCUCUUGAUGGAGGAUUUGGCAUGACUGCAGCAUGAACAUUGUGGAAAGGCUCUGUCUCAACCUCCUGUCUGUGCUUCCAGGACGGCCUCAAUUUGUCUGGUGGCACAAAGGCAAAGUGGAAAAAGCUGCUCAUAUUCCUGGACUCUGCUGAAGAAGCAAUCUGCUCCAAGAAGCGCCUUCUGAUUGCCUGCCCCACCCUCUGCCCAGGCUAACGUGGAUGCCACUGCUUUCUGGCCACUCUUCUAUCAAAACAUGCAAGCUGUUCUCUUUCCAUUGCUCUUUGGCUCUGCCUCUGGAACCUCACUUUGAAUCCCUCGGGACAACAAAGUCAGACUGGCUGGACUCACAUCUGCCUCCACCAUUGACCAACUGGGUGGCUGUGAGCAAGUUACUUAUAUUCAGCGUGCCUCAGUCUUCUCACCUGCAAAAUGGGUAUAAAAUAGUUCCCAUUCAUGCUAAUGAAAUGAGAUAAUCCAGGCAAAGAGCUUAUAAUGGUUUCCAAAAAGUGUUCAAUUAUUAUUGUUGUUGUUGUUAUCAUUGUUAUUUUCUGUAUUUCUGACAAGUAGUGCAGUUCUUGAUGUUGAAUGAACCGCUGACAAUGUUCACACACACACAAACACACACACACACGCACUUGCCCAAGUGUUAAACUUUGGUUCUCUCCUCUGACUCAUUCUUUGUGCCCAGUCCAUCAUAAGGUCCCAUUGGGUCGUUCUUCAGCACACCUGUCAAAAACCACUGGCAUAGUGCAGGAUUUAGUUUUAUUCACAACAGUAUCUUCAGGGCCUGACACAAAA